AUUGAACGCUGGCGGCAUGCCUUACACAUGCAAGUCGAACGGCAGCGCGGACUUCGGUCUGGCGGCGAGUGGCGAACGGGUGAGUAAUACAUCGGAACGUACCCUGUUGUGGGGGAUAACUAGUCGAAAGAUUAGCUAAUACCGCAUACGACCUGAGGGUGAAAGUGGGGGACCGCAAGGCCUCACGCAGCAGGAGCGGCCGAUGUCUGAUUAGCUAGUUGGUGGGGUAAAGGCCCACCAAGGCGACGAUCAGUAGCUGGUCUGAGAGGACGAUCAGCCACACUGGGAGUGAGACACGGCCCAGACUCCUACGGGAGGCAGCAGUGGGGAAUUUUGGACAAUGGGGGCAAACCUGAUCCAGCAAUGCCGCGUGUGUGAAGAAGGCCUUCGGGUUGUAAAGAACUUUUGUCCGGAAAGAAAUCGCGCUGGUUAAUACCUGGCGUGGAUGACGGUACCGGAAGAAUAAGCACCGGCUAACUACGUG
rnacentral:rRNA from 1 species